GCCGACGUAGCUCAACUGGUUAGAGCACCUCACUCGUAACGAGGUGGUUACCCGUUCAACUCGGGUCGUCGGCU
rnacentral:tRNA from 1 species